CGGAGCAGCGUGCCCACCGGCAGGACCAGAGUCCUUUUGGUUGGAAGUAUCUGCAAGCCCUCACAGAAGGGCACCCCUUGGCCUGACUUCCCUGUCCCCCUGCUCCUACAGCCAUGGAGGCGACUGCGGCCAGCACUUCCUUACCUGACCCCGGCGACUUUGACCGGAACGUGCCCCGGAUCUGCGGGGUGUGCGGGGACCGAGCCACCGGCUUCCAUUUCAACGCUAUGACCUGCGAAGGUUGCAAAGGCUUCUUCAGGCGGAGCAUGAAGCGGAAGGCGCUCUUCACCUGUCCCUUCAACGGAGACUGCCGCAUCACCAAGGACAACCGCCGCCACUGCCAGGCCUGCCGGCUCAAGCGCUGUAUUGACAUCGGCAUGAUGAAGGAAUUCAUCCUGACUGAUGAAGAGGUGCAGCGGAAACGGGAGAUGAUCCUCAAGCGGAAGGAGGAGGAGGCCUUGAAGGACAGCCUGCGGCCGAAGCUGUCGGAGGAGCAGCAGCGCAUCAUCACCACCCUGCUGGACGCCCACCACAAGACCUACGAUGACACCUACUCCGACUUCAGCCAGUUCCGACCUCCAGUUCGCAAGGAUGAGGACGAGGGGAACCAUGCUUCGAGGUCGAUACUCACUCCCAGCUUCUCUGGAAACUCGUCGUCCUCCUGUUCGGAUCACUAUACCUCCUCUCCAGACACAACGGAGCCAACCAGCUUUUCCAACCAGCAUCAGAGUGAAGAAGACUCCGAUGACCCUUCUGUGACCCUGGACCUGUCCCAGCUCUCCAUGCUGCCCCACCUGGCUGACCUGGUCAGUUACAGCAUCCAAAAGGUCAUUGGCUUUGCCAAGAUGAUCCCAGGGUUCAGAGACCUCACCGCUGACGACCAGAUCGUGCUGCUGAAGUCGAGUGCCAUUGAGGUCAUCAUGCUGCGCUCCAACCAGUCCUUCACCCUGGACGACAUGUCCUGGACCUGUGGCAGCCCGGACUACAAGUACCAAGUCAGCGACGUGACCAGAGCUGGACACAGCCUGGAGCUCAUCGAGCCCCUCAUCAAGUUCCAGGUGGGGCUGAAGAAGCUGAAUUUGCACGAAGAGGAACAUGUCCUGCUCAUGGCCAUCUGCAUUGUCUCCCCAGACCGCCCCGGAGUGCAGGACGCCGCGCUGGUCGAGGCCAUCCAGGACCGCCUGUCCAACACGCUGCAGACCUACAUCCGCUGCCGCCACCCGCCCCCAGGCAGCCACCUGCUCUAUGCCAAGAUGAUCCAGAAGCUGGCGGACCUGCGCAGCCUGAACGAGGAGCACUCCAAGCAGUACCGCUGCCUCUCAUUCCAGCCCGAGUCCAGCAUGAAGCUCACACCCCUCCUGCUCGAGGUGUUUGGCAACGAGAUCUCCUGACUCUGGCAGCCUGUACUGGCGCCUGGGAAGGGCGGCCUCUCCAGGGCUGGGCACUCAGGCCUGGGGCUGGCGGCUGCCCAGCAGCCCUUUCCACACCUGCUGGGGUUCAUCCCCUCCUCUCUUGCCUCUCCUCCCCAGCUGGCCCAUCCUCUCUCCUGCCCCAUCUAACGCCAGGUCCCCCUCACCUGCAGGCCACAGGCUGCCCUCCCAACCCACCCCCACUUCCCUCAAGGCCUCAGUCAUGA
rnacentral:lncRNA from 1 species